GGUGGUGAAAAGAAGAACACCAGUCUCUAAGAGAUUGCAGACUGGAUCGAAGUAAAAGAGGAAGAGAAUGGAUAGGAUGGAGAAGAAAAUGGCGUGACACAAGAGGAAGAACAAGGUUUGCCACUGGUCCAUGCCAUAGAUUGCAUAGAUCUGUGUCCAAUCUCUGUUUGUUGAUGUGGGUUUGCCCGUUUUGUUGUUGUAAUAAUGGAGAUGAGGUUUCACAGUGAGUGACAUUGGAAGGGGUCUGGGUCUUCUGCAAUUUUUUUAGUUUAAACAAAAAAAGAAAAAAAGAAACGGCAGAAUAUCUUCUUCUUUUUUUUCAGAAGCUGUAAAAAGAGCAGCAAAUUGGGCACACUCAAAACCAAGCAGAACCCAGAAAAGCAGAAACUCAGAUUCUCCCACUAACAGUAACGAAAUGUCAGUACCACUUGAAAAAAACCAUCAGAUCCAGUGAUUACAGAUACAGAGAAUUUUCCAGCCCAAUCCCAAAACGGCAACAGAGAAACCAAACAUAAAAAGAUGGCAGAAAAUCAGAGCUUCUGUAUCAGAAUCUCCCCCCAAGCGCUGUUUUCAACUCAGAACUGAGUGCAUACGAGUAAGAGAGACAAAAUCAGUGUAAUAAAUCUGCAAAUGUCAGGUCUGUUAUGGAGGAUAACAGUGAUAUUAUCAUCUCUAUUGCCAUUGCAAGCAUGAAACGCGUUUGGAUUCGUCGUUUUGUGCUACCCAGCUUUAAAAGGGAAAGAAGGAAUUGAGAUUUUAUCUCAUUUUUUUCUCCCAAAAAAAAGGUUCUUAUUGCCUUUAGUGGGUGGAUUUGUACGGACCUUGCGUGAGAGAGAGAGAGAGAGAGAGAG
rnacentral:misc_RNA from 1 species